UGGGACAUAGCUCAGUUGGUAGAGCGCCUGACUGUUAAUCAGGUUGUCGACAGUUCGAGUCUGUCUGUCCCAG
rnacentral:tRNA from 1 species